UACCAAUCCAACGAAUGAGGGUUUUGUAAACCCAAGUGGAACCAUGGGUUUCGAAGCCUCUGCCUCCGCCUUUCGUUGCUUAGAGCACCUCUUCUUUUCAUCGUCUUUCUUUUCUUCUUCUAUUCAUCUUUGUCUCUGAUGCUCCCACAGAUUUCAAGCAAUCUGACACUUCAAUCUCUCUUGCUCUCUCUCAUGGAAAUAGGAAUAAGAAAAAAAGGAAGGAAAGGGUGGGUCUGAAGAGAAGGGAAGGGUGGGUUGAUCGACGCCUUCGCCUGAGACUCCAGCAACACCGAUGAACGACAAGAGCUGAAUUAAAGAUGGCGGUGCUGAGGUAACUUGAUUUUCGGUUCUGUUGAGAGAUCAUCAGCUGCAACUAAUUCCCUGGUCUUUGUUUCCCUCCUUCUUUGAUAUUCUAUAUUGGUUUGGUUGGCAGCUGGAUCUGAAAUUGGGUAGACAUGGAUCGAAAGAGAAAGAGGAAAAUUGUGACAACUCUAGUUGCAAUCGAGUUAGAGAAACAACGUUUGUGUGCAUCCAUGAUGUUAGUAACUGUCAUAUAUGCUUUGACAGCAUAGUACUAUGAAAAGUACUAUCAUAAGAACCGAACCUUUGUUGAUCAUUUGAAUGUACUUAAAAGAAUUUUCGUGUUAUUGCUAAUUUUGUGAAUUUUUGGACUAUUUUUAUGGUAUCUUCAUGUGAUUUUUUAUUUUGUAA